AUGUUCUUAUGGAAAGGGACUCUCCUUCCAAACAAUAACCACCUUCCAUUUCAUCCUCCCUUCCUGCAAGACGUCAACUUGAAUGAAUCUGGGAAGAGCAGAAUCUUGGGAGCAUUGCUAACAAGAAUCAGGUGGAUCCAAGCAGCAAUUGCAGCUAAACUCUUUGUACCUAGCAUGGAAAGACUGGAGAGAACAUCUCUGUAUGCUGGUGCCUCAAGCUGCAGGAGCAUUCAGCCCUUGGCAACUGGCAAAGCACAACUUGGAGCAAAUGAAAACUUCAGAAAUGAACCAAUAGCUCAAGGUUAACCAGAGAGAAUGCAGCUGGGUAGUGCAAGCUAUUCUCUUAUAUAGUUAAAAAGGUUUCCUCUAAGGUUACCUGGCAUAGUAACUAAAUGGCUUGCAUGAAAUAACAUGCAGCAUUCUGCAGUUCUGUGCAGUUACCUUAAAUCAUCACCACACAGCCAAAAGACAAAGAGAAUGUAGGGCGAAGCUUUUAGCAGUAAUUUGUAACAGAGAUGUUUGGAAUAAGAACACAUUGCUUAUUACCACUGGCUCUUGUGCUAAUCACCUAAUUGCAAAUUUACUUUCCUUAAUGUCUGUAAACCACUGAAAUAAUCCCAUACAUUCUCUGCUCUUUUAUCCUAUUAUUUACAUCUACAUAGAAAAGGCCUGAACAUAGAUUUUUUUUCUCCUUCCAGAGUAAUUCAAUGAAUCCAUAUUCUCUUUCUAUUUGGAGCCAGAGAGAUUAAACUAGUGAACCACGAGGCAGUAUUCUGAACCCAAGGACUCAAAGAUGGGACACUAAAUAAAAAUGAAAGUGUUCUGAAAAAAUACACUAUAUAGAUCUUUACUCACAGAAAUGCCCACCCCAAACCCCACAUUCUGGGGAAGAUAUUUGUUGCAUUUGAAUAUUGCUUUCCACUUACCUUCAUCCAUUCUGGCAUUCUGGCUCUUUCUUUUUAGAAAAUCAAGAUUAAAGCCAGACUUUCCUUACUACAUUCUCACCAUGACUGUCACCUUCCAUUGAUUAAAAAGGGACUAAUGAAAGUGUCACUUGUUUGUAGCACUUGUUAAUGCACAAGACUAACAGAAUAGUCUGUAUGAUUAUUCCUGGCACUUAGGUGUGUGUCAUUUAAGACACAGAAAUACAGUGUCACCACUUGUUUAAUCAGAGCUUAAGUAAACUAGUUUUCAGUGAGCUAGUUAGUGCAGCAUUCUUCCAAAGGGAAGGGACAAAAGCACAUGUGGGCUGGGCAAGUAUUGUCUUCCUCCUCCUUUUUUAAAAAACUCCCCUCUAAAGAAAAGGGGCAAAGGGGAAGGAAGUGGGAGGGCUAGAGGAAAGGAUAGAAGGGGAUGGGAUUAAUAUGAGAAAAUGGAAAAAUAGGAACAAAAUCUUUGUAAAUAGGGAGGAAUGGAGGGGUUGAAGGAAGGGCUGGGCAAGGGUGAAAAAUAAGAACCAAGAGAGACUAUGUAAAGGUGCAAAUUUCCAAUGAUGAAUGUCAUUAUAUUGUAUACCUAAAAUGUACCAUUGAUUAGAAUGAAUAAUCAAAGAUGUAAAAUAGGAAGAAAAAGUCCAAAGGGGUAGGGUAGUGGGAGGGGCUGGGGAAAGGAAAGAGGGGAAGGAAAAAUGAUGAGAAAUGGAAAAAAUGGAAAUAAAGUCUUUGUAAAUAGGGAAGGGUGGAGGGCAUGAAGGGAGGGGUAGGUAUGGGGAAAAAAUAAGAACCAAGAUGU
rnacentral:lncRNA from 1 species